AAUUCUCAACUCCACUAUACUUUGUUAUAGAGGGGCUUGGACUGUGGGGGUUUGCUGGCCGCUUUUUGAGGUCAGCUCCUCUGAAAUACAUUAGCGGAACCGUUUGCGAUCUGCCACAAGUGUGAUAAUUAUCUACACUGGCGAGGGGAUUGCUCUCUGUGAUGUUCAGCUUCUAAUCGUCUCAUCAGAGACAAUUUAUUGAAU
rnacentral:misc_RNA from 1 species